CGGACGGGUGAGUAACACGUGGGCAACCUGCCCCGAGCUCUGGAAUAACCUCGGGAAACCGGGGCUAAUGCCGGAUAUGACAUUGCCGGGCAUAUGGUGGUGUGGAAAGAUUUAUCGGCUCGGGAUGGGCCCNCGGCUAUCAGCUUGUUGGUGGGGUGAUGGCCUACCAAGNCGACGACGGGUAGCCGGCCUGAGAGNNCNACCGGCCACACUGGGACUGAGACACNNCCCAGACUCCUAC
rnacentral:rRNA from 1 species